rnacentral:misc_RNA from 1 species
AGAUAUUUAAUAAAAGUGAGUGAACUUUGUGGUUUGUACGAUUGGUGCUUCAAUUUUUUGGCAUUUGCAUUUUGUAUGUGAUUGUUUUUUAUUCGUGUGGGUUUUAGGAAGAUGAUUGGUUAACAUGAUGAGCUCAGAGAAUGAGAGUUUUAUAUACAUCUGUUAAUUGGUUAUUUUGAAGAAAAUGUGUUGAAUUGUCAUAAUGCUCUCUACUGAAAUUUAUUUGAUGCAGUCAUUGGAUUUUUCAU